rnacentral:rRNA from 1 species
CAACAGCUCAAAUUUGAAAUCUGGCCUCCUCGGGGUCCGAGUUGUAAUUUGUAGAGGGCGUUUCGGGCGCGAUGCCGGUCUAAGUUCCUUGGAACAGGACGUCGUAGAGGGUGAGAAUCCCGUAUGCGACCGGCGAUCAAGCCUGUGUGAAACCCCUUCGACGAGUCGAGUUGUUUGGGAAUGCAGCUCAAAAUGGGUGGUAAAUUUCAUCUAAAGCUAAAUAUUGGCCAGAGACCGAUAGCGGACAAGUAGAGUGAUCGAAAGAUGAAAAGCACUUUGGAAAGAGAGUCAAACAGUACGUGAAAUUGUUGAAAGGGAAGCGCUUGCAAUCAGACCGGUCCGGAGGUGAUCAGCUGCUGCUCGUCAGCGGUGCACUCGCCUGCGAUCCGGCCAGCAUCGGUUCGGGCGGUGGGAUAAAAGUCCCGGGAAUGUAGCUUCUUUCGGGGAGUCUUAUAGCCCGGCUCGCAAUGCCGCCCGCCCGGACCGAGGACCGCGCUUCGGCUAGGAUGCUGGCGUAAUGGUUGCAAGCG